AUGAACGCUGGCGGCGUGCCUAAUACAUGCAAGUCGAGCGAACAGACGAGGAGCUUGCUCCUCUGAUGUUAGCGGCGGACGGGUGAGUAACACGUGGAUAACCUACCUAUAAGACUGGGAUAACUUCGGGAAACCGGAGCUAAUACCGGAUAACAUGUUGAACCGCAUGGUUCAACAGUGAAAGACGGUCUUGCUGUCACUUAUAGAUGGAUCCGCGCCGCAUUAGCUAGUUGGUAAGGUAACGGCUUACCAAGGCAACGAUGCGUAGCCGACCUGAGAGGGUGAUCGGCCACACUGGAACUGAGACACGGUCCAGACUCCUACGGGAGGCAGCAGUAGGGAAUCUUCCGCAAUGGGCGAAAGCCUGACGGAGCAACGCCGCGUGAGUGAAGAAGGUCUUCGGAUCGUAAAACUCUGUUAUUAGGGAAGAACAAAUGUGUAAGUAACUAUGCACGUCUUGACGGUACCUAAUCAGAAAACCACGGCUAACUACGU
rnacentral:rRNA from 1 species